GGCCCUGGGAAGUGUGCGCUAGAGGGAACAGCCGGGCGGCCGAGGGCGGAGAGGCGGCGCGAAUGUGACCUCAGCGGCCGCCGCGCUCCCUCCCGCCCUCUCCCGCUCCGGGCUCGGGUUUCUAGGACUGCCUGGAGAAGUGUGUCUUGUGCACAGCUCUGGAAUGCAUUUGGCAGGCUGACGAGCAGCGAGGGGCAGCAUCCUGGAGGGAGGAGGGGUGCAGCUCGCCCGCGCGCCGCCGGCAGGUUUCCUCCCGGCCUGGAAGACCUCCGGCACCCGCCACUCGGCCUCCCGGCGCGCUAACCUUGCCCAGCCAGCAGACCUGCUUAGAGCAUCCAAUCGCAUGCGGGGCCUGCUUAGGGUCAGAGAGUUUAUUCCUUCACCAUAGGUUCCAGAGAAAGCUAUCCCCAGAUGCAAGUGAUUGCUAGGAAGUAGAAAAGGUAUUUGUCAAGCAAAAGUCCGUGGAGCAGGUCUGAGGAUAGUACUAGAGUGUUAAAUGUUACUGAGACAACUAGUUGGCAUGGUGAUCCAACCUGACAUAUUUAGUAGGUUUUUGAAAAGUUGCUUGAAAUUGUAACAUUAGGACAGUCAUGAAACUUACGGGGGGGGGGGGGGGUAAAAGAAUUUUUUUUUACCAGAUGUGGAAUAUAAUAUUUAUUUCUUGCCACUGGAAUGAUAUGUUCUGGAAAAGAUAAAUUAUAAAUACCCUUUCUUUCCAGUAACGUUUGUUUCUAACCUGAUAGAUAAUUGACACACAUUUAGAGGGCUGGGGGUAUAAUUCCUUAGAGACCCUGGAUUCAGUGACUAGCAACACUAACUAGGAAUCAUCAUUUUGAAUUAGGUUCUCUGACCAUUCCCCUUCCACACUAAACUCUUACAACUAGAAAAGAAAACCAACAAGUUCUAUCACAUGAUUCUCUCCCUAGGGAGCCCUACGUUGUGGAAGGAAGACAACAGUAUAGGACCAUCAGCAGGACCGGACAGAGAGGGGCACGUAAGCAGUAAUUACUGGAUGGCAUAGUAAUUCUACUAAAAAUUAAAAUGCCACUUAUUGGAAUGGUGUGUGAACACUCUAAAGCAACCCGGGAAGAAGACAGCAGUCAAGAAGACCAAGGAAGGAAAUGGAGGAGGGAUGACCCCACCAUUACAGGCAGGGAAGGACUGACCAAAGAGACAGAAAUGUAGUCUAGGAAAUGUGUCAUCUUAGAAAGGAACGGGAAGGGGCUGGAGAGGUGGCUCAGAAGUAAAGAGCAGUGGAUGCUCUUUCAGGGGACCUGAGUUGGCCUCCUAAUGUCUUCAGGUACCUCCUAACUGCAUGUAACUCCAGCUCCGGGAGAUUCUGGAUUCUUCUGGUCUCCACGGCACUGCGUUCACGCGCACGCGCGCGCGCACACACACACACACACACACACACACACAAAUUAAUCUUAGAAAAGCAUAGGAAGCCUGAUUUUUUGUUUGUUUGUUUGUUUUGGGGUUUUUUUUUUGUUUGUUUUGUUUUGUUUUUGAGACAGGGUUUCUCUGUAUAGCCCUGGCUGUCCUGGAACUUGUAGACCAGGCUGGCCUUGAACUCAGAAAUCCGCCUGCCUCUGACUCCCGAGUGCUGAGAUUAAAGGUGUGCACCACCACACCCGACAAGGAAGCCUGUUUUAAGAAGUGAUUCCAUGGAGGAGUUCUGCGGCGGCUCAGGGCUUGACUAAACAGUGGACCUCAGACAAGAGAGGCUAAACCAGGCUGCAGGUGACAGGAAGAAUUGAAUAAACUGAAAGCAAAGGGCAGCCUUCUAAUUACGCUUCGUGGCUAUGUGGACAACCUGGAGAAGUCUGGAAACGUGAGUGGUGCUAAUCCCCUUUGUAAUGAAAGGCCCGGGUAAAAACAGAUGGGGCAAGUAGGUGUAAUGGGUAUUUCAGGAGCUUGAAUCUGAUGUCACAGCUUGUCUGGAUGGGACGUGCAUCUACUUGCAGAGCUAUGUUCCCAUCUAGUGUAAUUGUGGGUGUUUUAAUUCAGGCGUCACCUCUAUUUUGUCCUCUCUCCACAGCUUUCCUCCUCCAUUUUACUACUUGAGGGAGCAGUGGGUGGGAUACUAGGCAAGUAGCUGCAAUGGCUGGUGCUUUAUGGUUCCCUGGCAUCCCCUGAAUCUGUUAACAUCCCAACCUUCUUGACAGCCAGCCCCACCCCAUCACAUUCUUACUCCUUCCCUUUCCAAGAAAGAAGCCAGAAGCCCGAAGCCAGCAGUAGAGCUCUGACUGGCUUGUAUGCCUAGAAAGGAAGGGCUCUUCUUUCGCCUCACGGGCACAAAUGGGACCCACGAGCGCCGAUUUCAGACUAUUCUGAUCCCUUCAAAAAGAAAGUUAGGAGUCCAGGCUACUGUGAGUGAAUUUGAUUCUAAUUGUUUCAGAGAAUAUGGAAUAAAAUAUCUCAUUUGCAGUUGUUUA
rnacentral:lncRNA from 1 species